AUGUGGUCCAGCAACAUGUGGUCCAGUUUAAUCUGGUUUGGGCUGCACAUGUUCAUACAUGUAUAUCUCCCAUUUGCAAACCCUUACAUAAACAUGGGCCCUGUAACUAAGGCUACUGUGACUGUUAUCGAACUUGCUUUAUGGGUUGAUAAGGUGAGGAAUUCAUGGAUUUUUAACUUCCUUUGGACGGCGGGUACAUGUAUUCAGGGAUACCACACACUAACUGCAUGUUUUUGGGAUUACUUUAAUAAUGGCACCUACUGUGAGGGAAUAACACCAGGGGAAAUUUUCUCCCAACCCCUCACCCAAAUUUUUGGGUCUACCCCACCAGUUCUUGAAGGGUUCAGAUUUCCUCUGAAUGCUAAUGAUAUCAUAGAGUGGCUGGUGUUGCUGAUAGUCUUGUCCUAUUUAACAUUAAGAGAUAAGGGAGGAUUGAGCUGGAUAACAACUCUGAUAGCUACUCCAGGAAAUAGGGAUGGUGCUGCAGACAUUGACCCUGCCCCAGAGACUAGGGAUGCUGCCCCAGAGCCUGACCCUGCCCCAGAGACUAGGGAUGCUGCCCAUGAGCCUGACCCUGCCCCAGAGACUAGGGAUGCUGCCCCAGAGCCUGACCCUGCCCCAGAGACUAGGGAUGCUGCCCCAGAGCCUGACCCUGCCCCACAACCCACCUCAGAAAGAAACCACCUGGAGUGGAUGGGGGUUCUAGUGAAGGAGAUAGGCCAGAUGAUGAAGGAGUACCUCUCCCCAGCUGGUGAGAAGCCCUGCCAUAAAGGGGGAGAAUCCAGUGAUGCUGUAGUAGAACCCAUAGGUUUUACAUCUGCCCAGGGUCCAGCUGAAUUGCAAGGGCACACACAGCCAGCAGCAGUCGCCCCUGUAGAAACUAGGAAGUCUAAAAUGAAAACAAGGCACCUAGACAAAGAGGACCAGAGAGGAGGGCCCUCACAACCAGCAGGGGAGCCAGAGGUUGAAAUCAUCACUGACUCCCUGUCUUAUGAAAAUCUCUGCAAUCUGCGGAGAGAUAUUGCACGACGGGGCUGGGAGGCUUUGACAACUGGGUUACUUUGCGUCUGGGACCUUAUGGGUACAGGUGUGCACAUGGAUGGUACAGAGGCAAGGAAUUUGGGAUCCUUGUCCCAGGACUCAGGUGUGGACCAGAUAUUCGUAAGGGAGCCAGGUCCACUUCCCCUCUGGGAGCGGUUUUUAAUGAGUGUAAGAGAGAGGUUUGUCAACAAAGAAAGAAUGCAGGAGUACCAUAAUAGAAUGCAUUGGAAGACCCUUGAGGAAGGGAUCCAACAGCUGAGAGAGGUGGCGGUACUGGAGGUACUCUUUGGGAGGGGUGGACAGCAUGACAAUGACCCUGACAAGGUCAGGUGCACAGGGCACAUGCUGUGGAAUCUGGCAAACUGA
rnacentral:lncRNA from 1 species